rnacentral:lncRNA from 1 species
UUCUCUUCUAUUCCUUCUUUUCGUCGGCGGAAUUUGUGGAGUAGAUUUGGUUUACCUCUCUUUCCAUUUUCUUUUCUUUUUUAAAUUGCUUAUCGACCCGCCGUCCGGCGGGCACCAGCAGUGUGAAUAUGAUCAUCUCUUUUCUUAAAGCCACAACAAGAACACGCAUAUAUGACACGCUUGCUCUUGGAAGGUAACAACACGCACUCUUUGCCGAAUUAGAAUAACUAGAUCUCAAAACCCAGAUAAAAAGAUCCAAUCUUUUUCUCAUUCCAAGAUUCAAUGCUGCAAAUCCAAACCCCACAACCCAUUUUCACAGUGCUAAUCCCCACAAGAUGCUCAUAAUGUACCAACAUAUAUAAACAUAUACUUAUAUACAAAGCACAACAAAUGCAGUUUGCUACUGAUUGCUACUAUGCUAGUAUAAACUUACCCAACAACCAUUAAAAGAUCACAAGUCCAUUAAAUCCAAGGGAGCUGAGAGAAUCUUGGGAAAGAAAGUGAAACACUUGCUAAACAAACAAGAAUCUGAAACUUUGUAGUAAUAAUUUAUGAAAAUGUAACUGCUCUAAAAAUGUUUUAUUUUAGUUUUCUUGAAUUUUGGAAGUGAAAAGUUGUGAACUUUGAAAGGGGUUGCACUAUUUCUUCAGAUUAAUUAUGACUUCGUUUCAACUCAAAAAAUAGAGAGGGGGGAAGGUUUCUGCUCUCGUAUGUGUUGUGUGGGGGGUGGGGGGAUGGUUUUUCAAUAUAAUUUAAUAGUUUCUUCUACCAAUGUGACAGAAGUAUUAAAAUCUCCGGUUAAGGGUCAAAAUAGCCCUUAACCUAUCAGACUCCGGAACAAAAUUGCCAUCCGUUUACCUUUGGCGAAGAAAAUGUCCCCACCGUUAACUUUGUGGCCUAUUUCUACCCCUAAAAUCUAACAAAAUCUUGAAUUUCAUUUUUAAUUUUUUUUAAUGCCACGUGUCACGUUUUGAUUGGGACAUAUAAAGAACGGAAAAUUGGGACAUA